GUUCUUCGACGGCCAACCUACAGCACUGCCUGGCAGACACACAGCGAGCGGAGGCGAACAAGUCCAGUGGACAAAAAAUAAAUAAUAAACGGUUGCUACGAUUUUACAUCACUUCCAAUCGCUUCCUUUGAAGGCAAACGGUUCACAGUGCACGGGCGCCGUACCACGAUAUCCUGCGCUAUCCGGAAGUGAUCAGCAACUGCUGGGGCCAACAGACGGAAUGUCGGAAUGAAUGAAUUACCCGCGAGGGUGUGCGUAUCUGGAAGGAUGCGGCGGAGGCGGGGGGACAAGGUGAGCAACGAUGGGGUGGUUCAACGACCAGCUUCCACACACCACAGAGCACAGGAUCGAUGCGAACGGUUUCGAGCAAAAUCGGCCGACAAGGGGUGUCCACACAGCUUUCGAUAAUUCCCAGACUCCCAGGUAGCCUCCUGUGCAGGAUGAUUUCGGUGCUGUAAGUGUGGCAAGCGGGCUGUGUUUUCGUUAAACAACCGAUUUACCCUGAUCGCGACUAGUUUCCGUGGACUCGCGACGACGAGACGCACAUCCGCACGCUUUGAGUGUCAAAAGAGAACUUAUUUUUUAUGCGCCUCCAAUGCUUUUCUCUAUGCUGCUCUCCGUACGUACGGAACAGGCACUGAUUUCACACACACCUUCGUGCAGGCAAGGUUGGUUAGGCGGUGGUCUCUUCCUAGCUGCAUCGAAGUGUGAUUCUUCGGAACAGUUGGUGAAGCAAUCGCAAUUAUUGGUCAAAAUUUUGAACUGAGUUUCUUUUUAAUGUGUAAUUUUUGUAACGAGACUUUAUUUUGAAUUUUAAAGGACAUUUCCUUACCAUAUUGUUCUUUAGAGUGCAAAUCCAAAACAAAAACCACGUGCUUUUAGCCUCUAAAUGUAAAAUUUAUUCAUUGUAGUUCAAGUCUUUUGAACAUAUCAAUAUCACUAGCAAACUAUUAGCUAGCUCCUUGGUAAUUCCAGUCCACUGUUGUAUGGCCGUUAUGCAUGGCCAGAGACUCUCGUUUUAAGUAGAAACACUCUGCCUGGGAGCGGUCGUCACACUCCCUGGGCCAGGAUAGCUUUCACCCUGGAGUUCGAUGUAGUUGGAGUUUCUAAAAUAUAAGAACAAAGCAAACGAUUAAUAUCAAAA